AGUCAAGGAGAAAGUACCUGGUUCACAUACUGGUACUACUGAUACAGGAGCUGGUUAUGGAACUGGACAAAAAACUGCUGGUUGUGGACAUGACGAGAAGGGGAUGAUGGACAAGAUCAAUGAAAAGAUGCCUGGAUCGCAUACUAGUGAGACCGGCGGAUGUGGUACUGGACAGAAACAAACUGGUUUUGGAGCUGGACAGCAAACUGGGUAUGGACGUGAGCAUGAGGAUAAGGGAAUGAUGGAGAAGGUCAAGGAGAAGUUACCUGGUACUGGCCGUCAUCAACCUUAAGUAUGUAUCUGAAAUUAAUAUAUAUAUAUAUGUACCUACUAGUAGUAGUAGUAGGUUACUGCUAUCUACUACUACUACUGUAGUAACUUUAUGUAUUUCUGCAAGAAUAAGUCGCUAUGUGCGUGCUCAUAUGUAUGUCAGUAGCACG
rnacentral:lncRNA from 1 species